CCUACGGGUGGCUGCAGUGGGGAAUAUUGGACAAUGGGCGAAAGCCUGAACCAGCCAUGCCGCGUGUGUGAAGAAGGCCUUCGGGUUGUAAAGCACUUUCAGUGGGGAAGAAAGCCUUGGGGCUAAUACCCUCGAGGAAGGACAUCACCCACAGAAGAAGCACCGGCUAACUCCGUGCCAGCAGCCGCGGUAAUACGGAGGGUGCGAGCGUUAAUCGGAAUUACUGGGCGUAAAGCGCGCGUAGGCGGUCUGAUAAGCCGGUUGUGAAAGCCCCGGGCUCAACCUGGGAACGGCAUCCGGAACUGUCAGGCUAGAGUGCAGGAGAGGAAGGUAGAAUUCCCGGUGUAGCGGUGAAAUGCGUAGAGAUCGGGAGGAAUACCAGUGGCGAAGGCGGCCUUCUGGACUGACACUGACGCUGAGGUGCGAAAGCGUGGGUAGCAAACAGGAUUAGAUACCCGAGUAGUC
rnacentral:rRNA from 1 species